GCCCUCGUGGUGUAGUAGUCAGCAAGCUGGACGCAUAUUUCAGAGGUCCGUGGUUCGAAUCCCGGCGAGGCCA
rnacentral:tRNA from 1 species